rnacentral:rRNA from 1 species
UACGUAGGUGGCGAGCGUUGUCCGGAUUUAUUGGGCGUAAAGCGCCCGCAGGCGGCCUGGCAAGUUUCCGGUGAAAUCUCCCGGCUCAACUGGGAGGGGUCCGGGAAAACUGCCAGGCUUGAGGCAUGGAGAGGGAUGCGGAAUUCCCGGUGUAGCGGUGAAAUGCGUAGAUAUCUGGAGGAACACCGGUGGCGAAGGCGACAUCCUGGACCGGCAUUGACGCUGAGGCGCGAAAGCCAGGGGAGCAAACGGG